rfam:Ciona savignyi cont_36265, whole genome shotgun sequence.
GCUGCGAUGGCCGAGUGGUUAAGGCGUUGGACUCGAAAUCCAAUGGGAUAUUCCCGUGCAGGUUCGAAUCCUGUUCGCAGCG